rnacentral:rRNA from 1 species
GCCAAACAGCUAGCUUAACCACUUAAAUAAACAAAAAAUAUAAAUAACAUAUAAUUAACUCAACUAACUAAUUAAAUCAUUUUUCCGCCCUAGUAUGGGAGACAGAAAAGGCCACUAUAAGCAAUAGAAAAAGUACCGCAAGGGAAAGCUGAAAGAGUAAUGAAAUAAUCCAUAUAAGCACAAAAAAGCAAAGCCCAAACCUUGUACCUUUUGCAUCAUGAUUUAGCCAGCACAACGUAAGCAAAGAGAUCUUUAGUUUAAACCCCCGAAACCAAGUGAGCUACCCCGGGACAGCCUUAUUAGGGCCAACCCGUCUCUGUGGCAAAAGAGUGGGAAGAGCCCCGGGUAGAGGUGAUAGACCUACCGAACUUGGUGAUAGCUGGUUGCCUAAGAAAUGAAUAGAAGUUCAGCCUCGUACUCCUUAACCCAAUUAAGAAAUAUCUUUACAAGAAUAUAAGAAAAAUACGAGAGUUAGUUAAAAGGGGUACAGCCCUUUUAACCAAGGAUACAACCUUAAUAGGAGGAUAAGGAUCAUAUUUUUUUAAAUUAGUCGCCACAGUGGGCCUAAAAGCAGCCAUCUGACUAGAAAGCGUUAAAGCUCAAACGACAGUAACUUUAUUAUUUUGAUAAAUAAUCCAACUCCCCUAAAAAUAUUAGGCUAUUCCAUGCCUACAUGGAAGAAACUAUGCUAAAAUGAGUAACAAGAGACAAAACUCUCUCCAAGCACAAGUGUAAACCAGAUCGGACAACCCACUGGAAAUUAACGAACCCAAAAAAAGAGUGUACUGUGAAAUAUAGAAAAAUCAAGAAAACCCCACAAUAUAAAAUCGUUAACCUCACACCAGAGUGCCUCAAGGAAAGACAAAAAGAAUGGGAAGGAACUCGGCAAACAUAAGCCUCGCCUGUUUACCAAAAACAUCGCCUCCUGCAAAACCCUAAGUAUAGGAGGUCCAGCCUGCCCAGUGACCAUAAGUUCAACGGCCGCGGUAUUUUGACCGUGCAAAGGUAGCGCAAUCACUUGUCUUUUAAAUGAAGACCUGUAUGAAUGGCCAAACGAGGGCUUAGCUGUCUCCCCUAUCAUGUCAGUGAAAUUGAUCUAUCCGUGCAGAAGCGGAUAUAGCUCUACAAGACGAGAAGACCCUUUGGAGCUUAAGGUACAAAUAUCACCUACGUCAAACGCUUUCUCAACAAGCUAUGAACUUAGUAAGGCAUGAGAUUUUACCUUCGGUUGGGGCGACCAUGGAGAAUAAAAGAUCCUCCAAGUGGAAUGGAGUUUAACCUAAAACCAAGAAAGACAUUUCCAAGUCACAGAAAAUCUGACCAAUUAUGAUCCGGCCCCCAGGCCGAUCAACGAACCAAGUUACCCUAGGGAUAACAGCGCAAUCCCCUCCAAGAGUCCAUAUCGACGAGAGGGUUUACGACCUCGAUGUUGGAUCAGGACAUCCUAAUGGUGCAGCCGCUAUUAAGGGUUCGUUUGCUCAACGAUUAAAGUCCUACGUGAUCUGAGUUCAGACCGGAGUAAUCCAGGUCAGUUUCUAUCUGUAAUGUCAUUUUUCCUAGUACGAAAGGACCGGAAAAAAGAGGCCCAUGCUAUAAGCACGCCUCACCCCUAACUAAUGAAAGCAACUAAAUUAAGUAAAGGGAGGACUCAAAACAAGCCUAAAUAAGGCUAU